UUUGAAUGUAAUAUAUUGUACCUUGUUUUGUAGAGAGGGCUUACAUAGGCUAUGCCUGUUGCCCAAUCCAAUUUAAUUUAUUUGAAUAAAAUAUUGAUUAAACCAAUAUUAGUGAGGCCCUGAACACCAAUUCAUCUUUGAAAUAAAGAAACAAGUCAUGGGUUCAACAAAUUAGUAAUAUUAAAUUCAAAUUUGAAGGACAAAUGCAUUUAUAGUAU
rnacentral:lncRNA from 1 species